rnacentral:rRNA from 1 species
AUUGAACGCUGGCGGCAGGCCUAACCCAUGCAAGUCGAGCGAGCGGCGGACUGGUGAGUAAUGUCUGGGGAUCUGCCCAAUAUAGGGGUAUAACUACUGUACACUUUGGCUAAUACAGCAUACUAUCGUAUUAACCCAUAUGGGAUUAGCUAGUAGGGGGGGUAAAGGCUCACCUAGGCUACGAUCUCUAGCUGGUCUGAGAGGAUGAUCCGCCACACUGGGACUGAGACACGGCCCAGACUCCUACGGGAGGCAGCAGUGGGGAAUAUUGCACAAUGGGCGCAAGCCUGAUGCAGCCAUGCCGCGUGGAUGAAGAAGGCCUUAGGGUUGUAAAGUACUUUCAGCGGGGAGGCGUUACCCGCAGAAGAAGCACCGGCUAACUCCGUGCCAGCAGCCGCGGUAAUAC